rnacentral:lncRNA from 1 species
GGUUGUUGAGAUGAGCCAUCAACAAUGUGUAUACCAGAGCCGAACAUCUUUCGGUAUGCCUAAGAAACUCAUGGCCCAAACCAAAACCUCUGUGUGCACCUUCAAGUAAACCUGGAAGAUCGGCUACAACUAUAGUUGCAUCGUAAUCAAAUGAUACCACACCCAGAUUCGGAAGCAAUGUGGUAAAAGGGUAAUUUGCAAUGUUUGGUUGAGCAGCACUGAUAACACUUAGGAAUGUGCUUU